UAUAAUUGAUAGUCAAUUGUUGCAAACAAUGAUUCUGUUAUGUUCAAUAAUGCUUUCUUAUUUUGGUGUUUCAUCUUGUUCGAGGAUAUGUAAAGGAUAUGGCGGAACAACAAAAUGUUGCCUGGGAUAUGUUUGGAAUGAGACUCUUGGAGAAUGCUUAGCCUGCAAUGAUGGUUAUGUUGGGGAAAACUGUACUGAAACGUGUCUUGAACUGUACUAUGGCCGGGAAUGUCGACUUAAAUGCAAUUGUAACAAAGAUCUAUGCAAUCAUGUAGCUGGA